UACGUAGGGGGCUAGCGUUGUCCGGAUUUAUUGGGCGUAAAGAGCGUGUAGGCGCCAGGUAGGUCUGCUGUGAAAACUCGAGGCUCAACCUCGAGACGUCGGCGGAAACCAUCUGGCUAGAGUCCGGAAGAGGAGAGUGGAAUUCCUGGUGUAGCGGUGAAAUGCGCAGAUAUCAGGAAGAACACCCGUGGCGAAGGCGGCUCUCUGGGACGGUACUGACGCUGAGACGCGAAAGCGUGGGGAGCGAACAGGAUA
rnacentral:rRNA from 1 species